GCAUUAUACCGUGAAACUGCGAAUGGCUCAUUAAAUCAGUUAUCGUUUAUUUGAUAGUACCUUACUACUUGGAUAACCGUGGUAAUUCUAGAGCUAAUACAUGCUAAAAACCCCAACUUCGGGAGGGGUGUAUUUAUUAGAUAAAAAACCAAUGCCCUUCGGGGCUCCUUGGUGAUUCAUAAUAACUUCUCAGAUCGCAUGGCCUUGCGCCGGCGACGGUUCAUUCAAAUUUCUGCCCUAUCAACUUUCGAUGGUAAGGUAUUGGCUUACCAUGGUUUCAACGGGUAACGGGGAAUUAGGGUUCGAUUCCGGAGAGGGAGCCUGAGAAACGGCUACCACAUCCAAGGAAGGCAGCAGGCGCGCAAAUUACCCAAUCCCGACACGGGGAGGUAGUGACAAUAAAUACUGAUACAGGGCUCUUUAGGGUCUUGUAAUUGGAAUGAGUACAAUUUAAACCUCUUAACGAGGAACAAUUGGAGGGCAAGUCUGGUGCCAGCAGCCGCGGUAAUUCCAGCUCCAAUAGCGUAUAUUAAAGUUGUUGCAGUUAAAAAGCUCGUAGUUGAACCUUUGGCCUGGCUGGCGGGUCCGCCUCACCGCGUGCACUCGUCCGGCCGGGCCUUUUCUUCUGGAGAACCGCAUGCCCUUCACUGGGUGUGUUGGGGACCAGGACUUUUACUUUGAAAAAAUUAGAGUGUUCAAAGCAGGCCUUUGCUCGAAUACGUUAGCAUGGAAUAAUAGAAUAGGACGUGCGGUCCUAUUUUGUUGGUUUCUAGGACCGCCGUAAUGAUUAAUAGGGACAGUCGGGGGCAUCAGUAUUCAAUUGUCAGAGGUGAAAUUCUUGGAUUUAUUGAAGACUAACUACUGCGAAAGCAUUUGCCAAGGAUGUUUUCAUUAAUCAGUGAACGAAAGUUAGGGGAUCGAAGACGAUCAGAUACCGUCGUAGUCUUAACCAUAAACUAUGCCGACUAGGGAUCGGGCGGUGUUAUUAUUUUGACCCGCUCGGCACCUUACGAGAAAUCAAAGUGUUUGGGUCUGG
rnacentral:rRNA from 1 species